rnacentral:misc_RNA from 1 species
GGAUAGAGACAGAGAGAGACUCUGUGGCGCGAGUGCAUUUACGUAACUGUUGCAAUAAUCUGCCGCAUGAGUCGAUAUCACGCGAUCAUCAAUGAUCACGCCUCUCAGGUAUCGACGCGUGAAGGCUGCUGGUUGAAAACCAGACGAAAGCUCGUGAACUUUGGGACUUUGGAUAAUAAUAUAGAUAUGCUAUCAACAGCUCCAGGCCAUAUUACUACUCCUUAACAUAUUUCCCCACCAACGAACAACUCCCAAAACAAGCAUCAGAACGGAUGUCUCCUAAAAAAGAGCGAAAGGCAGCCGGGCAAGCAUCAAUUUCCCAGCCGAUCCCCGACUCUGACGUCUCGCAGAACGCAUAAGCUCUAAAUAACGCGCAGUAUACACGUUACUCUAUCUGGUAGUAUUAACCUCGCCUGCAACAUACAUGGCCGCCAACCGCACACAACUACCAGUUUCCAUUGGCAUGCGAAUGAGCGAAGCCUAGUGAUGGACUCAAGUAUUUCGCAACCCACAUAAAUGCGACUAAAUAGAACAUACUGUUUGUGGUAAAUUAGUAUGGGACAUGCCAGCUGUUCUACUACCUAAUUCAUGCAUUUAGCGUAUCCUAGAGAGAAGCGAAAGUCCCUAGAUCAACUCUUCUCUCAAAAAAAAGAACUCUGCAACUGUUUAUAAAUAAAGUAAAAUAACUUAAUAGUGUGUUAAUGGGAGUGGCACUUCAAAAAAUGUUCAAAGUGUAAAGAGUUAAUUCAUCGGCGUAUCUCAUCUAAGA